UUAAAUUGAAGAGUUUGAUCAUGGCUCAGAUUGAACGCUGGCGGCAGGCCUAACACAUGCAAGUCGAACGGUAACAGGAAGCAGCUUGCUGCUUUGCUGACGAGUGGCGGACGGGUGAGUAAUGUCUGGGAAACUGCCUGAUGGAGGGGGAUAACUACUGGAAACGGUGGCUAAUACCGCAUAACGUCGCAAGACCAAAGAGGGGGACCUUCGGGCCUCUUGCCAUCAGAUGUGCCCAGAUGGGAUUAGCUUGUUGGUGAGGUAACGGCUCACCAAGGCGACGAUCCCUAGCUGGUCUGAGAGGAUGACCAGCCACACUGGAACUGAGACACGGCCCAGACUCCUACGGGAGGCAGCAGUGGGGAAUAUUGCACAAUGGGCGCAAGCCUGAUGCAGCCAUGCCGCGUGUAUGAAGAAGGCCUUCGGGUUGUAAAGUACUUUCAGCGGGGAGGAAGGUGUUGUGGUUAAUAACCGCAGCAAUUGACGUUACCCGCAGAAGAAGCACCGGCUAACUCCGUGCCAGCAGCCGCGGUAAUACGGAGGGUGCAAGCGUUAAUCG
rnacentral:rRNA from 1 species